ACGGGAAGUCCCGCCCACGCCCGCUCCCAUUGGGCCUCCGGCAGAGAAGGGAGCAGCUGAUUCGGCGAUUGCUCGUCAAUCCUGUCGGUGGGCCAACAAAGAUCGCUCUGUCGCCGCGCGCCACAAGGAUACAUUAUCCGUGUAACAGGGCGCCGCUCGCCGGCUCCAUUUACUGAACGACUGUGAAAACUCAAGACUCCAGCAGCAAACCUCGUUGACACUACUCAUUGCAUCUUGCCAAAUGUAGAGGUUUAUUUCUGCCUUCUCAGUUUCCUGUUAUUGAACCAAUCUUCAAUCCACACUGCUCUAAUGCCAUAGCUAACUUUGCCAACAACACCGUCCUUGGCUGAAUCAAGGGUGGUGAUGAAUCCACGUAUAGGAGGGAGACUGAAAAUCUGGCUGAGUGGUGCCACAGCAACAGCCUGUUCCUCAACAUCAGCAAGACCAAGGAGCUGAUUAUUGACUUCAGAGGAAGGAAACCAAUGAGCCAGUCCUCAUCAGCGGAGGGUCAGCGACUUUAAAUCAUUACGGAGGAACUGUCCUGGGCCUAGCACAUAAGUGCCAUUAUGAAGAAAGCAAGGCAGCACUUCUACUUCCUUAGGAGUUUGUGAAGAUUUGUCAUGAUAACUAAAGCUUUGACAAACUUCUUUAGAUGAAUAGUGGAGAGUAUAUUGACUGGUUGCAUCACAGCCUGGUAUGGAAGCACCAAUACCCUUGAAUGCAAAAUCCUAGAAAAAGAAGUGGAUACAGCCCAGUUUAUCAUGGGUAAAGUCCUCGCCAUCAUUGUACACACCUUUACUGGGCGCUGUCGCAGGAAAGCAGCAUCCAUCAUCUGUGUCCCCCAACACCCAGGACAUGCUCUCUUCUCACUGCUGCCAUCAGGAAGGUGGUACAGGAGCCUUAGGGCUCACACCACCAGGUUCAGGAACUGUUAUUACUCCUCAACCAUCAGACUUUUGAACCAGAAGGGAUAACUUCACUUGCCCCAUUACUGAACAGUUCCCACAACCUAUGGACUCACAUUCAAAGACUCUUCAUCUGUUCAAUAUUAUUACUGAGUUAUUUAUCUUUUUUUUACUUUUGUAUUUGCACAGUUUGUUAUCUUUUGCUCACUGGUUGUUUGUCCUCCCUGUUGGCUUCGGUCUUUUAUUGAUUCUGUUAUGGUUCUUGGAUUUGUUGAGUAUGCUUGCAAGAAAAUAAAUCUCAGGGUUUUAUUUGGUGGCAUACAUGUACUUUGUAGAUUUGU